CUGGAGGCAGCGGUUCAUCGAUCUCUUCCUGAAUUUGGUUGUGGAAUAACACAAAGCAAGAAUCGAUCGAUAAACCUCUGCAUCCAG
rnacentral:pre_miRNA from 1 species